rnacentral:rRNA from 1 species
UUCACGGAGAGUUUGAUCCUGGCUCAGGACGAACGCUGGCGGCGUGCCUAACACAUGCAAGUUGAGCGACGAACCGGGGCUUGCCCCGGGGCAAAGCAGCGAACGGGUGAGUAACACGUGGAUAACGUACCCCGAUAACCGGGACAACCCGAGGAAACUCGAGCUAAUACCGGAUGUGCCCAUCACACACCAGUGUGAUGUGUAAAGGAAGCUUCGGCCUCCGUAUUGGGAGCGGUCCGCGGCCCAUUAGCUAGUUGGUGAGGUAACGGCUCACCAAGGCAACGAUGGGUAGCUGGUCUGAGAGGACGAUCAGCCACACUGGGACUGAGACACGGCCCAGACUCCUACGGGAGG